CAGGGGCUGGGAUAUCUUGCACGGUUCUCUCGAGAUUGCUCCGCUUGAUAGAAUCUGGGUUCGAUGGCUGUGUGGGCGGCGCUUCAUCGGAGUGGCGUCGAUUCUCGUCGCCACAAGUUGCUUGAUUUCCCGGCCAGUCGUGACGCUCGUGGGGACGAUGCGUUCGGAGUUGCGCCUGAUGGACUGGUUGGUCCGCGAGGUUUGGCCUACAGGGACGCUAGCGUGCGCGACGGUGUGUCCGCGAAAGCACCGCAAGGCUACGGCCAUUGCCGGCCACGGCGACGUCUUUGGAUGUCGUUCACCUUGUUGGAGGGUGGCCAUGACACACGUCCUGCCGCUGGUUGCCUCCCCUGGGGCACUGUCUACGACCUUGCUGACUUGCGUUCUCUCCGAGGUCCUCCUCGGGAUACCUCUAGUCGAUGCCCUGUGUCUUGUUGUUACUGGCUUCAUAUAUACGGUGUUCCUCCGGCUUGCGCGGCCUCUCUCGUGCCUAGGGUGGCUGUCGGAGAGUGUGUCGUGGCACCGGAGGACAACGGUGGUUCUAAACAGCCGGUGGCUGUCCUGAUGGCAGGUGCAAAGCCUUUGGUUUUCCUUGGGGUGGGGUUAAGACUUCCGCGAAAGCAUUGCACGGCUCCCCUGUGCCGACAACGGCGACGCUCGUGAGCGCCGUUCCCCUUCAUGGAGGCGUUGUCGUGAAGUUCUUCCCCUUUGAACUCUGGAGGCUCGUAUGCUCACUUGCGCCGUUAGCCAGCUCCCUCGGUGAUGGUGGUCCUCUGCAUGGCGGCCUUGUGCCGAUUCAGUUUGGUGCGGCUCCAUGGAGUGGCGGCUCGUUGCUUGAAGUUCCAGCCGAGCUGCCGAUGUUUAGCUGUAGUCUUGGGCGCCCUUGUAUCUUGGUUUAGGCUAUAGCUUUGCAUCACUUGUGCUUGUAUCGUUAGCUGGUAACCCCAGUUUUGUUUUCUUUUUCUUUCCUUCGGUUGUUUCGUUGUAUCGUUGUACGCCUGGCCGGUUGAUGGCUUUGUUAAUUCAAAGUCGGGCUCGUGGAGCCUUCUGUUUAAAAAAGCAUAGCUACAUCAUCAUGCACCUGUCUGAGAGUUAUCUCCCACAAUCCAAGCACUUUGUAGAUGAUUAGACGAUUGCAUACUUUAAUUACUGCAGGAAGUUACGUGGAUAAGCACCUGUUAAACACUUCUUUGCAGAUCCAAGCACUUCUUUUUAGAUGCUUAGAUGGUUGCAAAUAUUGUUGUACACGUGUCGCAAAAAAGACACCGGUUAAACACUAGUGUGUAACCAAGCACUAGCACCGAAAAAUUAGCACCUUGCUCUGCUAUGUGGAAAGGAAAAACAUUUUGUUUGUUUUGCAAAAUUAAGACAAAGAAGUGAACUAGGAAGGCAGGGUGCCUGAUGUGAUUGUUGAGAUGGAACGGUUUAAUUGGAUGCUAUGUUGCAUGGAGCUGAGGGAUAACAAUGUUUCAGUCGCCAGAGGGAUUGGUGAACAACUGAAGCUAACAGGAAAUUUCUGGCCAUAUGCAAAUUGAGCUACUUGAAGACAAGUUCAGACUUGUAUCUGGCAGUGAAUUCAGACCUGUAUCUGGCAAUAAAUUUGUGCAAGUCGGCUUCCAGUACGAGAAAUCAGCAAGCCACCACUUCGAAGACUCCCAUCUACCUCACAUGCCAAGGCGUCCUCAACUGUAAGGCCACAUUGGCUCUUAUCAUCGAGUUCCUUAAGUUCACUUCAAUAGUCAUGCCAAGAUGGCAAGCUGGCAGCUGUGGUUUGUACCAAUUGGUCUUGCUCUUUCUAGGUAAAAUUCCAAUUGGUGUUGCUCUUUCUGCACUCUUGGGAAACCAUAUCGCUGGUCCAGAUAGUCCCUUCUUGGAUAUACUUACCAUUGUAUUCCUGCUGCAUGUCUUCUCCGCUGAGCAUCAAGUGAAGUGAUAAAAGUUGGCGACAACAUUAUGUAGUUUCUUUUGUUAAACUUUAUAUCAUGCCUCAUGCAUAAACUAUCAUUAUCUCAUUUGAAUUGUGUAUACACUAGGCUUCAAAUGUAAUUAUUGGUUACACAAACAUUAUGUGUAUUCUUUUCUUGCUAGCCCUUUCUAGUUUGUAAGUUGCUAGACUUCAGAUCAGAAUUUUAUGAUUUUACGGCGCAUUAGGCCAUGGUGUCAUUUUGCUGGCACAUUAA